rnacentral:lncRNA from 1 species
GCCAGAGGUGUUGGAGUCGGGGGACCUUUGGUCGUUCUUUAAGCCACUUCCUGCCGCCUUCUCUCAAGGAUGCACGCUUGUGCUCCAUCCAAAUCGAUUGGGGGUGGCGGUGGGGAGGGUCCUAUGAAUGUCACAGGAGGAGAUACCUUCUGUCUUUGUUUCAAAGAAAGUGAUGUGCCAUUUGUUAAUAUACAAGAGAAAUAUUGAAAAUAUAUUGAAAAGAGCAAUUUUAAAUUAUUUUUGGCUUAUGUUGCAAUAUUUAUUUUCUUGUAUUAGAGAAGAUUUCUUUGUAGAGAAAAAAAUGUAUUUUUCAUUACCGCAAAGACCUAUUUCUCCUUUUUGUACAUUGUCCUCGUUCGCGACCCUUAACGAGCAAUAGAAUGUUCGGUCACCCCGCGUGGCCAGUGCCCACUGUGCCCUGCAUGACUGUGUUGUUGCUGCUGCUGCUGCUGCAUAGUUUCCGGCCCUGUCCUGUCCUGCUCACUCACAAGGGCAUCUGGAUCGCAGCCCCCACCAGGGUCUGUGUCUAAGGAGCCCACAGCACUCCUCGUGUGUUGGCAAAUUCAGUUAAUAAAGCAAUGUUUUCUGUGCUGGC